AGCGAAACCGCGAGGUCAAGCAAAUCCCAUAAAGUUGUUCUCAGUUCGGAUUGUAGUCUGCAACUCGACUACAUGAAGCUGGAAUCGCUAGUAAUCGUAGAUCAGCAUGCUACGGUGAAUACGUUCCCGGGUCUUGUACACACCGCCCGUCACACCACGAGAGUUUGUAACACCCGAAGCCGGUGGAGUAACCAUUUGGAGCUAGCCGUCGAAGGUGGGACAAAUGAUUGGGGUGAAGUCGUAACAAGGUAGCCGUAUCGGAAGGUGCGGCUGGAUCACCUCCUUUCUAAGGA
rnacentral:rRNA from 1 species